rnacentral:rRNA from 1 species
GGCCUACGGGAGGCAGCAGUGAGGAAUAUUGGACAAUGGAGGCAACUCUGAUCCAGCCAUGCCGCGUGCAGGAAGACGGCCCUAUGGGUUGUAAACUGCUUUUAUAUAGGAAGAAACCUUUCCACGUGUGGAAAGCUGACGGUACUGUAUGAAUAAGCACCGGCUAACUCCGUGCCAGCAGCCGCGGUAAU